rnacentral:rRNA from 1 species
GGCGAACGCUGGCGGCGUGCCUAAUACAUGCAAGUAGAACGCACAGUUUAUACCGUAGCUUGCUACACCAUAGACUGUGAGUUGCGAACGGGUGAGUAACGCGUAGGUAACCUGCCUGGUAGCGGGGGAUAACUAUUGGAAACGAUAGCUAAUACCGCAUAAUAUUAAUUAUUGCAUGAUAAUUAAUUGAAAGGUGCAAUUGCACCACUACCAGGUGGACCUGCGUUGUAUUAGCUAGUAGGUGAGGUAACGGCUCACCUAGGCGACGAUACAUAGCCGACCUGAGAGGGUGAUCGGCCACACUGGGACUGAGACACGGCCCAGACUCCUACGGGAGGCAGCAGUAGGGAAUCUUCGGCAAUGGACGAAAGUCUGACCGAGCAACGCCGCGUGAGUGAAGAAGGGUUUCGGAUCGUAAAGCUCUGUUGUAAGAGAAGAACGGGUGUGAGAGUGGAAAGUUCACACUGUGACGGUAUCUUACCAGAAAGGGACGGCUAACUACGUG